rnacentral:misc_RNA from 1 species
AAGGAUCAUUAAUGAAAUACAAGGAUGCUCUUUUUAGAGGUCCGACCUAAUUCAUUUCCUUCACACUGUGCACAUUACUAUUUUAUACACCUUUUUAACACAUCAGUCUAAGAAUGUAAAUCAGUCUCUUAAUUGAGCAACAAACCAAGUAAAACUUUCGGCAACGGAUCUCUUGGCUCCC